rnacentral:rRNA from 1 species
AUUGAACGCUGGCGGCAGGCCUAACACAUGCAAGUCGAACGGUAACAGAAAGCAGCUUGCUGCUUUGCUGACGAGUGGCGGACGGGUGAGUAAUGUCUGGGAAACUGCCUGAUGGAGGGGGAUAACUACUGGAAACGGUAGCUAAUACCGCAUAACGUCGCAAGACCAAAGAGGGGGACCUUCGGGCCUCUUGCCAUCGGAUGUGCCCAGAUGGGAUUAGCUAGUAGGUGGGGUAAAGGCUCACCUAGGCGACGAUCCCUAGCUGGUCUGAGAGGAUGACCAGCCACACUGGAACUGAGACACGGUCCAGACUCCUACGGGAGGCAGCAGUGGGGAAUAUUGCACAAUGGGCGCAAGCCUGAUGCAGCCAUGCCGCGUGUAUGAAGAAGGCCUUCGGGCUGUAAAGUACUUUCAGCGGGGAGGAAGGGAGUAAAGUUAAUACCUUUGCUCAUUGACGUUACCCGCAGAAGAAGCACCGGCUAACUCCGUG